rnacentral:rRNA from 1 species
CUUUCCUUGACGACGACUGGCGCACGGGUGAGUAACGCGUAUCCAACCUUCCCAUGACCACGGGAUAACCCGUUGAAAGACGGCCUAAUACCGUAUGACGUCGUUUGCCGACAUCGAAAGACGACCAAAGGUUUGGCGGUGAUGGAUGGGGAUGCGUCUGAUUAGCUUGUUGGCGGGGUAACGGCCCACCAAGGCUACGAUCAGUAGGGGUUCUGAGAGGAAGGUCCCCCACAUUGGAACUGAGACACGGUCCAAACUCCUACGGGAGGCAGCAGGU